rnacentral:tRNA from 1 species
GUGGUUAUAGCUUAAUUGGUAGAGCGCUAAACUGUGACUUUAGAGGUUAUAGGUUCAAUUCCUAUUAAUCACC